GACGAACGCUGGCGGCGUGCUUAACACAUGCAAGUCGAACGGAAAGGCCCUGCUUUUGUGGGGUGCUCGAGUGGCGAACGGGUGAGUAACACGUGAGUAACCUGCCCUUGACUUUGGGAUAACUUCAGGAAACUGGGGCUAAUACCGGAUAGGAGCUCCUGCUGCAUGGGGGGGGUUGGAAAGUUUCGGCGGUUGGGGAUGGACUCGCGGCUUAUCAGCUUGUUGGUGGGGUAGUGGCUUACCAAGGCUUUGACGGGUAGCCGGCCUGAGAGGGUGACCGGCCACAUUGGGACUGAGACACGGCCCAGACUCCUACGGGAGGCAGCAGUGGGGAAUAUUGCGCAAUGGGCGGAAGCCUGAUGCAGCAACGCCGCGUGCGGGAUGACGGCCUUCGGGUUGUAAACCGCUUUCGCCUGUGACGAAGCGUGAGUGACGGUAAUGGGUAAAGAAGCACCGGCUAACUACGUG
rnacentral:rRNA from 1 species